GACGAACGCUGGCGGCGUGCUUAACACAUGCAAGUCGAACGGAAAGGCCCUGCUUUUGUGGGGUGCUCGAGUGGCGAACGGGUGAGUAACACGUGAGUAACCUGCCCUUGACUUUGGGAUAACUUCAGGAAACUGGGGCUAAUACCGGAUAGGAGCUCCUGCUGCAUGGUGGGGGUUGGAAAGUUUCGGCGGUUGGGGAUGGACUCGCGGCUUAUCAGCUUGUUGGUCUGGUAGUGGCUUACCAAGGCUUUGACGGGUAGCCGGCCUGAGAGGGUGACCGGCCACAUUGGGACUGAGAUACGGCCCAGACUCCUACGGGAGGCAGCAGUGGGGAAUAUUGCACAAUGGGCGGAAGCCUGAUGCAGCAACGCCGCGUGCGGGAUGACGGCCUUCGGGUUGUAAACCGCUUUCGCCUGUGACGAAGCGUGAGUGACGGUAAUGGGUAAAGAAGCACCGGCUAACUACGUG
rnacentral:rRNA from 1 species